GUGCCAGCCGCCGCGGUAAUACCGGCAGCUCGAGUGAUGUCCAAUAUUAUUGGGCCUAAAGCGUCCGUAGCUGGCCGCGCAAGUCCGUCGGGAAAUCCACCUGCCCAACAGGUGGGCGUCCGGCGGAAACUGUUCGGCUUGGGGCCGGAGGACCCGAGGGGUACGUCCGGGGUAGGAGUGAAAUCCUGUAAUCCUGGACGGACCGCCGGUGGCGAAAGCGCCUCGGGAAGACGGACCCGACAGUGAGGGACGAAAGCCAGGGUCUCCAACCGGAUUAGAAACCCGGUAGUCC
rnacentral:rRNA from 1 species